GGAUGUGAGGGCCAUCUGGCAGUGAUAUAUAUCACCCCAUUGAUCACCAGGGUUGAUUCAGCUGAUCCCUUCCUCCCUCCCCACUCCAUGUGCGUCCCUUGCAAAGCUGUGCUCUUGGUCAAAGAGGGUGACCAUCCUGGAUAGAGGGAGGAGUGUGUCCUUGGUCAAGGGUAUAGAGUAGCUGUGCUCCACUGCUAGAAUCUCCAAAUAAAGUUUCAAGAAAUAAACAAAACCUUGAAUGUAGCCCACCUUAACAAAUUCUCUGAGGCUUACUUCAUAAUCUAUAAGA
ensembl:misc_RNA 7SK 7SK RNA